rnacentral:rRNA from 1 species
UACAGAGGGGGCAAGCGUUAUUCGGAAUUAUUGGGCGUAAAGGGCUUGUAGGUGGCCAACUAAGUCAGACGUGAAAUCCCUCGGCUUAACCGGGGAACUGCGUCUGAUACUGGAUGGCUUGAGUGUGGGAGAGGGAUGCGGAAUUCCAGGUGUAGCGGUGAAAUGCGUAGAUAUCUGGAGGAACACCGGUGGCGAAGGCGGCAUCCUGGACCGACACUGACGCUGAGGAGCGAAAGCCAGGGGAGCAAACGGG